CUCGGUGUGAAUUCAUCAGGCUAAUUAAAAGAGAAAGUGUGCCCUGAAAUGGGGUAAAAAAUACUUCCUUCCUGGGGUUCAGGUAAGAAGAUGUCAGCUUUUACUCCAAGGAAAA